ACCGAAUGCUCCCUGAGCCCCCAUAUUCAAGCCUUUAAAAUUGCUGAUUCUGGUUCAGACGUUUCCUGGAGACUCUGAUAAAAGAUUAUUGUCUUCUUGGUGUCCUAGACAUGAGGGGUCCUGAGCCCAGGAGUCUAGCAGCUGUAACAAGAGGCAAGUCACGUUGCUUAUAUUUAAUUCAAUGUCUUCAUCCCUAAAAUAGAGAUCAUAAUGCCCCCUUGCCCACUUAGCCACUUCACAAUUUGCAGAGAUGUUGUAAUGAGAGAAUGCAUGUGAGUGUGCUGCUUUGAGAGUGGGCAAACGCAACAAGACAGCUAGCUGCUAGUGCUGAUGUUUUUCAUCCUUAGUGUGGAUGUUGAGAGAGAGCUCAGGAAGGCCAGGUGAUAUGGACAAGGUCACACAGCAAGUAAGUGGUUGAAAUAAAGGCACAAUAGCCCUGUGUCCCUCAGCAAGGGGCUGAAAAGAAAUUACAGAGCCAGUGGGAAGGCUCGGGUGCUGAGCUUUAGCAAUGCUGGGCUGAGCUCAGUACAGAAAUGGGGACACUGAUUUGGGAUGAAUCCCAAUGCUCUCCCCAGCUGACCCCGACUCCCUGUACCUUGGUCCCAGUGGCUUCUCAGGCUUCUCUGCAGCAUGGGUGUCCUGCCUUGGCCAGAGCCGAAAUCCCAGAGCAGUGAAAAAGGAGCCAGUGUCACGGGGCUUCUGGUUUCAGGACGCACUGGAAAGUGUUCUCUGUGAACAUGGUAGCUGACACAGGCUGGUCUGUACUGGAGUUAUCCUGGCACCCAGCCUACAAACAGAGGAAAUGUGCAGUUCAUUCAUGGAAUUUGAAUUUUUCCUGAAGAUCACUCCCCCAGUGAAUGACAUGUACCUAAA